rnacentral:rRNA from 1 species
GCGAAAUCGGGGGCAUCGGCGGGUGGAAUACGUAGGGGGCAAGUGUUAAUCGGAAGUACGUGUCGAGAAACGCGCGUAGGUGGUUUUGUAAGUUGGCGUGGAAAUCCCCGGGCUCAACCCGGGAACUGCCUCCAAAACUGCAUGACUAGAGUACGGUAGAGGGUAGUGGAAUUUCCUGUGUAGCGGUGAAAUGCGUAGAUAUAGGAAGGAACACCAGUGGCGAAGGCGACUACCUGGACUGAUACUGACACUGAGGUGCGAAAGCGUGGGGAGCAAACAGGAUUAGAUACCCUUGUAGUC